CGUGAGCAGGGCUGCGUGUCAAGUCUAUGGACUCGACUCUUGCACAUCUACGUCUUAGGUUUGCGCCAAUUCGUGGUAAGCUUGGGUCAUAGAGACUCAUAGGUGUUAUAAAGACUCGCUGGUGUUUGUCUCCUUGAGGCAUACGGCUUUAACCAAAACUCUCAAAGUUUGACCUCAAAUCAGGUAGGAGUACCCGCUGAACUUAAGCAUAUCAAUAAGCGGAGGAAAAGAAACCAACCGGGAUUGCCUUAGUAACGGCGAGUGAAGCGGCAAAAGCUCAAAUUUGAAAUCUGGCGUCUUCGACGUCCGAGUUGUAAUUUGAAGAAGGCGACUUUGUAGCUGGUCCUUGUCUAUGUUCCUUGGAACAGGACGUCAUAGAGGGUGAGAAUCCCGUGUGGCGAGGAUCCCAGUUAUUUGUAAAGUGCUUUCGACGAGUCGAGUUGUUUGGGAAUGCAGCUCUAAGUGGGUGGUAAAUUCCAUCUAAAGCUAAAUAUUGGCGAGAGACCGAUAGCGAACAAGUACAGUGAUGGAAAGAUGAAAAGAACUUUGAAAAGAGAGUGAAAAAGUACGUGAAAUUGUUGAAAGGGAAGGGCAUUUGAUCAGACAUGGCGUUUGCUUCGGCUUUCGCUGGGCCAGCAUCAGUUUUAGCGGUUGGAUAAAUCCUCGGGAAUGUGGCUCUGCUUCGGUAGAGUGUUAUAGCCCGUGGGAAUACAGCCAGCUGGGACUGAGGAUUGCGACUUUUGUCAAGGAUGCUGGCGUAAUGGUUAAUGCCGCCCGUCUUGAAACACGGACCAAGGAGUCUAACGUCUAUGCGAGUGUUUGGGUGUAAAACCCGUACGCGUAAUGAAAGUGAACGUAGGUGAGGGCCCGCAAGGGUGCAUCAUCGACCGAUCCUGAUGUCUUCGGAUG
rnacentral:rRNA from 1 species